UACGGAGGGUGCAAGCGUUAUCCGGAUUCACUGGGUUUAAAGGGUGCGUAGGCGGAUUUGUAAGUCCGUGGUGAAAUCUCCGAGCUUAACUCGGAAACUGCCAUGGAUACUAUAGGUCUUGAAUGUUGUGGAGGUCAGCGGAAUAUGUCAUGUAGCGGUGAAAUGCUUAGAUAUGACAUAGAACACCUAUUGCGAAGGCAGCUGGCUACGCAAAUAUUGACGCUGAGGCACGAAAGCGUGGGGAUCAAACAGG
rnacentral:rRNA from 1 species